CAUGUAUCUCAGCCAAUGAUGUCCAAAAACCACUACGAGAUGUCAUCUAUUCCACUCAGCUCGACAUCCGAGAGGCCCCUCCUGCCUCUGCCACAGCCCUUGCGGAACUUGUCGAGCUCUGUGGUACAGAUGUUGCAGCUGCUGCGUCUGUUGCCAAUGUUGAUGACAACACCGACGUCGAAGGUGCUCACAUCCUCCCAUGAUGAGCCCAUGCAACCAUGCACGCCUUGGUGGCGUCCGAAUGGCGUCUCGUCGUCCCUAUCGUGGCCCUACAUCGCGUGUCUAUAUAUUUCCUCACACGUGUGUUUCGAGUGACCACCUGGUCUGCUUCUUCUACCUUUUAGUUUCCCCCCUUAAAUUCAUGUUCCCACCUGUUUCCUUCCCCAACUAGUACCCUGUCCUCACUCAUAUGACCAAUCUACCAGUAUGAGUAGUGCAACUCUAUCUAUUUGCUCGUGGAAUGUAAGAGGACUUGGCGAUGAAUCAAAAAUGUACUUAUAUUCUCUCCGAACUAAUCAGUAUCAAACCUCACUACUCCCUUUCACAAGAGUCAAAGCUAAACGAUAUUGCUGAACAAAAAUUUAAGUCCUUCUUACCACAAUCUCUAGACCAAAAAAUAAACCUACCAGCCAAUGGUUCGGCCGGCGGAAUCAUUUCCGCUUUUAACUCAAACC
rnacentral:lncRNA from 1 species